rnacentral:rRNA from 1 species
UACAGAGGGGGCAAGCGUUGUUCGGAAUUACUGGGCGUAAAGGGCGCGUAGGCGGCCCGCUAAGUCGAACGUGAAAUCCCCGAGCUCAACUCGGGAACUGCGUCCGAUACUGGCGGGCUUGAAUCCGGGAGAGGGAUGCGGAAUUCCAGGUGUAGCGGUGAAAUGCGUAGAUAUCUGGAGGAACACCGGUGGCGAAGGCGGCAUCCUGGACCGGCAUUGACGCUGAGGAGCGAAAGCUAGGGAGCAACGGG